rnacentral:rRNA from 1 species
GUCCACGCUGUAAACGGUGGGCACUAGGUGUGGGAGGUAUUGACCCCUUCCGUGCCGAAGCUAACGCGCUAAGUGCCCCGCCUGGGGAGUACGGCCGCAAGGCUAAAACUCAAAGGAAUUGACGGGGGCCCGCACAAGCAGCGGAGCGUGUGGUUCAAUUCGAUGGUACGCGAAGAACCUUACCAGGGUUUGACAUGCUGGUGGUACUGACCUGAAAAGGAAGGGACCCUUCGGGGAGCCAGCACAGGUGUUGCAUGGCUGUCGU